ACAAGGACAAAGGGGAGCCGGGGGGACCGGCUGAGAGGGUGCUGCACCGCACCGACCCGCUGAACCUGAUCUGGAUGAUGCCAGCGUAGGGAACAUACGGAAGAUGCGG
rnacentral:ncRNA from 1 species